AUCCGCUGCAGGCGGCGCUGGCCUCGGCCGCGACCUUCAGCGUCGCGGCGGCGGUGCCGCUUUUGGCGGCGAUCAUGGCGCCGGGGGGGCA
rnacentral:tRNA from 1 species